rnacentral:misc_RNA from 1 species
AAGUCGUAACAAGGUUUCCGUAGGUGAACCUGCGGAAGGAUCAUUAACACGUCAAUCCUGUCUUGUAACCCGCGUAGUUCGCAAUCUCUGGUAAAUCAUAGCCAGGAAAGUAGUUUUGAUUCAGAGACCUCUGGCUACGUGAGAACAUUGGAACAGUUACAAUCGAGCGGUAGUUUCAUAGGCAUUGUUUCCCCAAGCAGUUAGUGUCUGAAAGUGUCACUGAUUGUGCAAGGAUAGCGCUUCAACGAUUCCUGUAGACCGUACACUCGGGCAGGAGCUAUGCCAAAGGGUCCCCAUGCCCCCUUAUAACCCCACAGUUUAAUGUGAAGCUCAAUGUAAUACAUUGGGUAAAAAAACCGAACAACUGUUAACAAUGGAUAUCUUGGUUCUC